rnacentral:snRNA from 1 species
GUUCUCCCUCCCACAGCACAUACACUAAAAUUGGAGCAAUGCAGAGAAGAUUACCGUGGCCCCUGCACAAGGAUGACAUACAGACUCGUGAAGCAGCACUAACUACA